rnacentral:rRNA from 1 species
GAUGAACGCUGGCGGCGUGCCUAAUACAUGCAAGUCGAGCGAACGGACGAGAAGCUUGCUUCUCUGAUGUUAGCGGCGGACGGGUGAGUAACACGUGGAUAACCUACCUAUAAGACUGGGAUAACUUCGGGAAACCGGAGCUAAUACCGGAUAAUAUUUUGAACCGCAUGGUUCAAAAGUGAAAGACGGUCUUGCUGUCACUUAUAGAUGGAUCCGCGCUGCAUUAGCUAGUUGGUAAGGUAACGGCUUACCAAGGCAACGAUGCAUAGCCGACCUGAGAGGGUGAUCGGCCACACUGGAACUGAGACACGGUCCAGACUCCUACGGGAGGCAGCAGUAGGGAAUCUUCCGCAAUGGGCGAAAGCCUGACGGAGCAACGCCGCGUGAGUGAUGAAGGUUUUCGGAUCGUAAAACUCUGUUAUUAGGGAAGAACAUAUGUGUAAGUAACUGUGCACAUCUUGACGGUACCUAAUCAGAAAGCCACGGCUAACUACGUGCCAGCAGCCGCGGUAAUACGUAGGUGGCAAGCGUUAUCCGGAAUUAUUGGGCGUAAAGCGCGCGUAGGCGGUUUUUUAAGUCUGAUGUGAAAGCCCACGGCUCAACCGUGGAGGGUCAUUGGAAACUGGAAAACUUGAGUGCAGAAGAGGAAAGUGGAAUUCCAUGUGUAGCGGUGAAAUGCGCAGAGAUAUGGAGGAACACCAGUGGCGAAGGCGACUUUCUGGUCUGUAACUGACGCUGAUGUGCGAAAGCGUGGGGAUCAAACAGGAUUAGAUACCCUGGUAGUCCACGCCGUAAACGAUGAGUGCUAAGUGUUAGGGGGUUUCCGCCCCUUAGUGCUGCAGCUAACGCAUUAAGCACUCCGCCUGGGGAGUACGACCGCAAGGUUGAAACUCAAAGGAAUUGACGGGGACCCGCACAAGCGGUGGAGCAUGUGGUUUAAUUCGAAGCAACGCGAAGAACCUUACCAAAUCUUGACAUCCUUUGACAACUCUAGAGAUAGAGCCUUCCCCUUCGGGGGACAAAGUGACAGGUGGUGCAUGGUUGUCGUCAGCUCGUGUCGUGAGAUGUUGGGUUAAGUCCCGCAACGAGCGCAACCCUUAAGCUUAGUUGCCAUCAUUAAGUUGGGCACUCUAAGUUGACUGCCGGUGACAAACCGGAGGAAGGUGGGGAUGACGUCAAAUCAUCAUGCCCCUUAUGAUUUGGGCUACACACGUGCUACAAUGGACAAUACAAAGGGCAGCGAAACCGCGAGGUCAGGCAAAUCCCAUAAAGUUGUUCUCAGUUCGGAUUGUAGUCUGCAACUCGACUACAUGAAGCUGGAAUCGCUAGUAAUCGUAGAUCAGCAUGCUACGGUGAAUACGUUCCCGGGUCU